rnacentral:rRNA from 1 species
CACGUAGUUAGCCGGGGCUUUCUUCUCCUAUACCGUCACACAAAGCGCAGUUACUCGCCUUGCUAUUCGUCUAGGGCAACAGAGCUUUACGAUCCGAAAACCUUCAUCACUCACGCGGCGUUGCUCCGUCAGACUUGCGUCCAUUGCGGAAGAUUCCCUACUGCUGCCUCCCGUAGGAGUCUGGGCCGUGUCUCAGUCCCAGUGUGGCCGUUCACCCUCUCAGGUCGGCUACGCAUCGUCGCCUUGGUAGGCCAUUACCCUACCAACUAGCUAAUGCGCCGCAGGCCCAUCUAUAAGCCACAGAUUGCUCCGUGUUUCAUAGUUCUCUCAUGCGAGAAAACCAAUUAUCCGGUCUUAGCUAUCGUUUCCGAUAGUUAUCCCGAUCUUAUAGGCAGGUUACCUACGUGUUACUCACCCGUCCGCCGCUAACUUGUCCCCGAAGGAACAAAUCCGCUCGACUUGCAUGUAUUAGGCACGCCGCCAGCGUCUCUCU